UUAGCGGCGGACGGGUGAGUAACACGUGGAUAACCUACCUAUAAGACUGGGAUAACUUCGGGAAACCGGAGCUAAUACCGGAUAAUAUUUUGAACCGCAUGGUUCAAAAGUGAAAGACGGUCUUGCUGUCACUUAUAGAUGGAUCCGCGCUGCAUUAGCUAGUUGGUAAGGUAACGGCUUACCAAGGCAACGAUGCAUAGCCGACCUGAGAGGGUGAUCGGCCACACUGGAACUGAGACACGGUCCAGACUCCUACGGGAGGCAGCAGUAGGGAAUCUUCCGCAAUGGGCGAAAGCCUGACGGAGCAACGCCGCGUGAGUGAUGAAGGUCUUCGGAUCGUAAAACUCUGUUAUUAGGGAAGAACAUAUGUGUAAGUAACUGUGCACAUCUUGACGGUACCUAAUCAGAAAGCCACGGCUAACUACGUGCCAGCAGCCGCGGUAAUACGUAGGUGGCAAGCGUUAUCCGGAAUUAUUGGGCGUAAAGCGCGCGUAGGCGGUUUUUUAAGUCUGAUGUGAAAGCCCACGGCUCAACCGUGGAGGGUCAUUGGAAACUGGAAAACUUGAGUGCAGAAGAGGAAAGUGGAAUUCCAUGUGUAGCGGUGAAAUGCGCAGAGAUAUGGAGGAACACCAGUGGCGAAGGCGACUUUCUGGUCUGUAACUGGCGCUGAUGUGCGAAAGCGUGGGGAUCAAACAGGAUUAGAUANCCUGGUAGUCCACGCCGUAAACGAUGAGUGCUAAGUGUUAGGGGGUUUCCGCC
rnacentral:rRNA from 1 species